rnacentral:rRNA from 1 species
CAACAUAGCUUAUGUAUGUAUUAAGUAAAUCCUGCUCAAUGAAAUUAAAUAGCCGCAGCUUAUUUUCUGUGCUAAGGUAGCAUAAUCUCUUGUCUUUUAAUUAAAGAAUAGAAUGAACGGAACAAUGAAUUUUAAACUGUCUCAAUAAUUAUAAUUAAAAUUCACUAAAAGUAAAAACACUUUUUUAAAUCAAAAAGACGACAAGACCCUGACGAACUUUACUACAGUUAAGCUGGGGCGGCUUUAUAAAAAAAUCUUAAUUUAAUCCCAUUAACCCUAUAUUUAUUUAACCAGUUACCGCAGGGAUAACAGCAUAAUUUAAUUUUUAAGCUCUUAUUUUAACUUAAGAUUAUGACCUCGAUGUUGAAUUAGAUUUCUUCUACAAGAAAAAGAAUAGAAAGAAAGUCUGUUCGACUUAUUACUAUCUACAUGAUUUGAGUUCAGACCGGUGCAAACCAGGUCGGUUUCUAUCUUUUUCUAAAAAUUACCAGUACGAAAGGACCCUAAUUUUUUUAUUA